rnacentral:rRNA from 1 species
GACGAACGCUGGCGGCGUGCCUAAUACAUGCAAGUAGAACGCUGAAGGAGGAGCUUGCUUCGCUGGAUGAGUUGCGAACGGGUGAGUAACGCGUAGGUAACCUGCCUGGGAGGGGGGGAUAACUAUUGGAAACGUUAGCUAAUACCGCAUAAUAGCAGUAGUUGCAUGAUAACUGUUUGAAAGGUGCAAUUGCACCGCUACCAGAUGGACCUGCGUUGUAUUAGCUAGUUGGUGGGGUAACGGCUCACCAAGGCGACGAUACAUAGCCGACCUGAGAAGGGGGUUGGCCAACCUGGGACUGGGACACGGCCCAGGACCCUUCGGGGGGCAGCAGGAGGGAAACUUCGGCAAUGGACGGAAGGCUGGACAAGGAACGCCGGGUGAGUGGAGAAGGUUUUCGGAUCGUAAAGCUCUGUUGUAAGGGAAGAAAGAGUGUGCGAGUGGAAAGUUCACAUUGUGACGGUAUCUUACCAGAAAGGGACGGCUAACUACGUG